UGGGGAAUAUUGCACAAUGGGCGCAAGCCUGAUGCAGCCAUGCCGCGUGUGUGAAGAAGGCCUUCGGGUUGUAAAGCACUUUCAGCGGGGAAGAAGGCGAUAAGGUUAAUAACCUUGUCGAUUGACGUUACCCGCAGAAGAAGCACCGGCUAACUCCGUGCCAGCAGCCGCGGUAAUACGGAGGGUGCAAGCGUUAAUCGGAAUUACUGGGCGUAAAGCGCACGCAGGCGGUCUGUCAAGUCGGAUGUGAAAUCCCCGGGCUUAACCUGGGAACUGCAUUCGAAACUGGCAGGCUAGAGUCUUGUAGAGGGGGGUAGAAUUCCAGGUGUAGCGGUGAAAUGCGUAGAGAUCUGGAGGAAUACCGGUGGCGAAGGCGGCCCCCUGGACAAAGACUGACGCUCAGGUGCGAAAGCGUGGGGAGCAAACAGG
rnacentral:rRNA from 1 species